GCGCUUUGGAAAGAUUCUUCGGAUGAUUUCCUUUGCGACUGAGCGGCGGACGGGUGAGUAACGCGUGGGUAACCUGCCUCAUACAGGGGGAUAACAGUUAGAAAUGACUGCUAAUACCGCAUAAGACCACGGUACCGCAUGGUACAGUGGUAAAAACUCCGGUGGUAUGAGAUGGACCCGCGUCUGAUUAGGUAGUUGGUGGGGUAACGGCCUACCAAGCCGACGAUCAGUAGCCGACCUGAGAGGGUGACCGGCCACAUUGGGACUGAGACACGGCCCAGACUCCUACGGGAGGCAGCAGUGGGGAAUAUUGCACAAUGGAGGAAACUCUGGUGCAGCGACGCCGCGUGAAGGAUGAAGUAUUUCGGUAUGUAAACUUCUAUCAGCAGGGAAGAAAAUGACGGUACCUGACUAAGAAGCCCCGGCUAACUACGUGCCAGCAGCCGCGGUAAUACGUAGGGGGCAAGCGUUAUCCGGAUUUACUGGGUGUAAAGGGAGCGUAGACGGCACGGCAAGCCAGAUGUGAAAGCCCGGGGCUCAACCCCGGGACUGCAUUUGGAACUGCUGAGCUAGAGUGUCGGAGAGGCAAGUGGAAUUCCUAGUGUAGCGGUGAAAUGCGUAGAUAUUAGGAGGAACACCAGUGGCGAAGGCGGCUUG
rnacentral:rRNA from 1 species